rnacentral:lncRNA from 1 species
UAUAAUUGGUCAUUACAAAGGUCAUAGGCCCUGCCAUUUGCUAAUUGGGAACCAAAGCAUCAAAUACACUGAAAAACAAUAUAGUUGUUCAUAGGCCACCAUUUAGAAUUACAUGCACUUUCUUCAACUUCCAAGUAUUAUAUAUUACAACACACGUAAUGUAAAUUCAAGUUCUUCCAAGCCUUGUAAAGGGAACUUCGAGCCUUGCAAACCUACACCAAGCAACCAUUGAGCCGAGACCAAAAUUAAAGUCAAGUUUUAAACUUCCCCAAACAAGCACUUACAUGGGAUUCCCAGUCUAUUACUAUAAGUAGCCAUUUUGAGGUCAUAUGUUUCGAAUGAGGAUUCCCAGAAAGAAGUGUGAAUUACCCUUAAUUACAAGAUAUGUAACAUACAAACACAAUUAAUAUUGAUCACAAACCUUUAAUGAUUAACUACAAUAUUACUAAGCAAGUGGAUGAAAUAGGAAACAAAAUGAACUAAAGAACAAAAAAUACAUGAUGCGGACCAUCAAAUUGAUACAGUUUCCAUCUUUUCUUAGCAAAAUAUUAGUCUCAGUUAGCCAACAAAACAAAGUGAGUCAUAGAACUCUAAGCAAGCAAACCAGUAAAACAUAUUGGGAUCAAGUAUUUAUGGAUAUAUAAUUAAGAACAAGAUAAUCCAAUAUUCGAAGGCCCUUAAUUAUGACAAUAAUGUUCGGUCCAAAGUUCAAACCAGCACUGAUCAGUUCUGAGAAUGUUUUGCUCGAACGAGCCAUAGCCCAUAAGCCCUUUCUCUUCAUCUAGCAUCACAAGUUCGCUCCAGGUCGGUGAGGUACAUGUGGAUAGUAAUUAGGCCUUGCAUUUCCAACUGUAAAAUAAUCAAAGUUAUUUCGCAAACGAAGUAUGACUUGAAAUAAAUAACGGAGUGAAACCAUAUCAUCACCUGGACCAUACAACAUAGCAUUUGUCGGAUCCAAUGGGAUGAAAUUGGGAAACAAUUGUUGUUGUGUAAAUGCAUGACUUUCGCCAGCACCCUGCACUAUAUUAUAACGUAAGUGAAAAGUGCAAAUCAUAUUCAGUUAUCAAUGGAAAGAGACGAACCAUUAGGAGUUGUGAAUAUGAGAUGGUGCCUGCAUGGAGUAUGAGACCGAUUCAACUUCUCCCAGUUUACUUGGGCCUGCCUUAGUUCUUCUUUCCUUAAUUGAAGUUGGACGGGACUACAUAACAGAUAAAUAAUUACUACCAUUAAUCACUUUCUUACAAAACAAAAUAAAUUGCAAACAUACCUUUGCUAUACUGGAAUUCAAUUCCAAACAGCUUUUCCUUCGGAGUUUCUUUGGUGCACCUUUUCUAUUCGAGCAUUUGACGUCAUGUACACUUCCUUUGACAGAUUGCUGUGAUGCUCUAUCGUCCAAUGUUGUUUGAAAAGCCCGCUGCGAUAAGUUAUUACUUCCACCAAUCGACCACAUCAUGUUAACUGUUCAUUAUUUGCAAUCUAUCCACUCUAUUACCUGACAGCUUUCCUCAUCGUCCUCUACAACAAAGUUCGCAAGAGAAGCAAAUGAUUGACACAAUUUGUCAUAUUUCAACUGAGCUGGACUGCUACUCAAACCAUCGUAGUUGGUUGCGACCUUGGUGUGGGCCCUACUCACAUUUCUUCUCCAUCUCCGUAAUAUGUAGGAGUCGGGCAGUGAGGUGAUGUUAUUAUGGAUAAGUACAUCAAUCGCAUGCCUGUAAAUUAUUCCUCAGAACUCGAAGAGGUGACAACUACAUACGAUUCCACAUUUCUCUUUUUGAAAAGUGACAUAAUAGCUCUUUUUCUUCACUCGAUCGUCAAGUAUGACAUCUUCCAAUACCUCAUACCUCAUCCCUGAAAAGCACUCUGACGAAGAUAUGAGAUCGUAGUAGACCUUCCCAAUGAACUCAUCUUGAACUUCCCUGAAUUUUGAGAUGGUCUAAACUAGUUGAAAUUGCUUCUCUAGCUCGUAUUUCAUUGCACAUGGAGCCAUCUGUGAAUAAGAUUUGAAAUCUGUCUGGAACUCAUUUUCCACCUUAUUCCUCAAAGCUCGCUCGUAUUGUUCGAUAAAUUGCUUCAGCAACGUCUUAGAGUGCACAUAUCCGUCGAAGAAUGCAUUCAUGCUUUCAAUGUGCUGAGUAGUUGACAUUCCAGCUCAGAACAUACAUUUCAAAUAGCAAGGUACCCAACGGCCCCUGUUCGAGUACAAUCCCGACAACCAGUCAUUAUCAUGCAAGUUAUACUUCUCUAUCAUUGCACUACAACCCUCUUCAAACUCGUUAACGAUUUUAGUAUCAUACACCAGUAUGUGUGGCAGAAAAGAUUUCACCCUUGUCACUAUGGUGUCCAAACUUCUCUGACAACUUCUUCAAUUUGUGCAACAAACACCAUCUAUGCUUUGUGUUUGGGAACACGAUCUGAAUUGCAUUCUGCAUAGCCCUGUCUUGAUCGGUAAUAAUACCAAGGGGUACUUGUCCGUGCAUACAGUGAAGCCAAGUCUUGAAAAGCCACACAAAUGUUUAUGUAUUUUCGUUCGACAACAAAUCAUAACCAAGGAGCGUUGAUUUCCCAUGAUGAUUAACUCCAACAAAGGCGCAAAUAGCAUGUCAUACUUGUUAGUUAGGUAUGUGGUAUCGAAUGUCACAACAUCCCCAAACUCCUUAUAUGCCAGCCUACUUCUAUUAUCUGCCCAGAAAAUAUUCUUUAAUCGCGACUCUUCAUUUAAAUCCAUGCUAAAGGAAAAAUCUGAGCGCCUUGCUUACAUGUUCGAAAAGUAUAACUGAAUUGCUAUGGCAUCUCAUUCUCCCAGUCUUAACCACCUCAUUCGUUUAACAUAAUUUCGACAAUACUUUUCGAUGCAAGUCAUAUUAUCAUACCCCCUGCUUCUACAACCGUUGAAUUGUAACUUUUAUGCAAAGGAAUCCCUGCCAUGUCAUUCACUUCAAGCCGUCGUUUGACAUGGGCACUCAAUUCUCGGUUGUAACGAUACAGCAUGGACUUCGAAGGGCUGAUUUUAUGAUUGUGAAUAAGAUUGACUGUGUUAAUUCUUCAUACUUCACACGCAUCUAAUGAUGCAGUAGCUUUACAACCCGUUUGAAUGGUAGCUUGCAGUUUCAUAGAACCGCUUGUGUUAUUACUUCUACGACCUUCACGGCUACAUGUAAAUACAACAUAUCUUACAAUUCCAUCAUCAUCCUUUUGCGAAUUUCUUUUCCUGACCGGAAAGCCUACGUUGUACGCAUAUAGUUUGUAAAAAUCAAACACUUCUUUUUCAUCGCUGAACUUCAUACCUAUUUCGGGCACAAUCAUACCAUCUAGUCCUACAAUUCCAUCGUCCAUGACAUUCACACUUUUCAACAUCUUCUCGUUAUCUGAUUCUAACCAAAUAUCGUUUCUACUUCUUCCGAAAUUCAUUUUGCUGCGACAAAAAAAAAUUGCAAGCAACACACUUGAAAUACAUAUAAAUCUUCCUUCUUUUAUAUAUGUGAACCUCAUUCCUAAUUCUAUUCAAAUCUAGUGAAGGAAAUAAAAAUAUCCUGUAAAACAUGGCCUUGAAAUACACAUUUGAAUGCAGAUUAUUAACAUUCUUGCACUUUCUUGAUACUACAACUUUAAUUUCGUGGCCUUUCCUCUAUUGUUAAUAAGAUAAAUUUUUGGUUGCUGGGUUUUUAGUGAACCCAUAAUUCUAGGUAAAAUGAGAUUUUUCUAGAAAUUUGGACACAUAAUUCUAAUUUCCGAGAAAUAAGUAAACCCAUAAAUCUAGAUAAAAUGAGAACCCAUAAAUUCUUGCACUUUUCUUACACAUUGCUUUAUGUAGUUUGUGAAAGAGGAGCUUCCCCAUGUGUACCCAUUUCUAUUUUGAGACUCAAUUUAACAAGGAUUUACUCCAAACAAAGCAAAAAAGAAGAAGAGGUUUUUAUGAUUACACUUUCAUCUCAUAGAGUAUACCUUUGUCACUAAACCCAAAACCAGUAUCAAACUAAAAUGGGGAAGGGGAAUACCUUUGUCCGUAAUCUCUUCGAAUCAAACCAAAUUUCGACUUCUAGUUUGCUUCGAAAAUGAACCUAAUGUUGGAUAUUUCAAGCAACGCCAAUCGUGAAAAAGAGAACUCGCAGCCGAGAGAAAUCAGUGAAGUUGACCCAUAUUUUGAAUGCCCAUUGCUUUCGGCCGAGAGGAAUGAACCCGGUGUCAGAUAAUUUUCCCUUUAUCAAUAAAAUAUGGCACGCCAUAAAUCGCGGCAAAGAGAAGAGUAGCACUUUCGCGGGCAGAAAUGAAGAAAAGGAAUUCACGCAAGAUUUGAAUAGAAAAGUUAAAUUUCAGCCAAAGUCUUUUGAAAUGGGUCUCCCCAAACCCAAGACCAAGACAAUUAACCCAUUGAAUUUUGCUAUUUGUACACUGAUUUUUGACACUUUAGUUGACACUUGCAUUGUUGUCAAGUGUCAAUUGGAUGAAAAUAUUGUUUGAAAUUUAAAAUGUCCAAUAGGAUAAUGACACGUAUUAAAGUGUAAAUUAAAGUGUAUACCAAAGUGUACAUGUAGCAAUGUUCUUAAACCAUUUAUUUUAUUUUUAUAACCCACCAUCCACGUCAGCGUGUAAAGAAACGGGUAAGUGAAAGACUACAAAUAGCUUUAUAAUCUUUCUGUCUCCCUUGUGGGAGGAGGCAUAUCCCCUCGCCCUCCAACCCCAACCUUAACCACCCACAGUGCCAUACAUAUAUCACUGACGCAACUUCCACUGAUCUCUCUAUAGAAAUAAAAAUUCGUAGAUUCGAAUUUAGGAAUAGAGGGUUUUGUAAUUUUCUGCACCUAAAUUAAAUGUACAGAUCUUCGAAACUCUAAAAUUUAUUUGUUAUUAAUUGAUUAGUCUCUCUUCUGUUGUAGUUAGCUCUUUCAAUUUCAUUUCUUAGUUAGGUUUUUGUAAUUUCAGCUCUUCUUUCCAAAUUUCAGAGAUUUAUAAAAAUCUGAAAAUUUUCGUAUCUGGUUUUAUUUUUAAAUAUCCUGAUUCAAAAAAUUAAUUCUUGAAUCCUUGUUGUAUUGAGAGUGGAGAUGCUUAUGUGGUUUAAAGUAUUUUUUCUAGCGGAAGAUUUCUCGAAUGGAUAGAUUUGGAGAUGAGGGCAGUAAUGAAGAGUCCGCCAAACUUGAGGAUUGUAAACCAUUUGGUGCAAAUCCAACAGGUUUUUUAUAUACCUGCGAGAUUAUCUUUUAUGUUUGAGCUCACUUUUGAUUAGGGCCGGCCCUAAUAUUUUGGGGCCUUAAGCUAACUUUAAAUAUGGGGUCUAUUGAAGAAAAAUCAUUGUAUUCUUAGUUGAGCCUUUUUACAUAGAGUUUUAAUAUAAUCAUGAAGAAUAUAAUACUGACAAUUAAACUCCAAAAUUUGAAGAGGAAAAUAAUAAAAUGUAAAAAUUCAACAUGCAAUACAAAUUAAAAGUGAAGUUUGGUAUAUAGAACUACAAUGUAAUGGCAAGGGCUCUGUUCGUCUCUUUGAUCAUUUUCACACUGUAACUAUUUAAAAUAAAACUGAACAUGUAUUUGAGUGAUUUAUGUACAAAAUCGGAGAAUGUUGAUUGCGAGAGUUUGUAUAACAAAAUAAUGAUCAAAUGCAAAUGAGCGUCUAAUUUUAUAUUAAUUUAUACUAAAUCAACUUAAAAAUAAGAAGUAUAAGCAUGGAUAAAGAAUUUUUAAAUUCAAAGUACCUUUAACAAACAUCAAAAAAACUAUUAUAAUGAGAUUACAGCUAAACAAUAAUAAUAACAGCCUAAUACUAGACAUUAAAUUGAAUCUUCAAAAUUUUUAUUCAACGUAACAUAAUUUAUUUCUUCUUUGGUUGAAAAAAAAAAUUAUGAUGGGCCACUGUUGGACGUGAAAUUUGAAGAGAUAAAGAGACAUUUUUUGUUUGGUUAAGAAAAGAAAUUGGAUGUUUUGAAGAUAAAUGUCAAAUUACUGUGAGAGAGAGAGAGAGAGAGAGAGAGAGAGAGAGAGUAAUGUUUGGAUAUAUUUAUAUGAUGUGAUAAGCUUUAUGCUAUUUAUACGUUUCUCUAAAGAUUUUUGUAUUUUCAAUUUUUAUUAGUUUCUUGUGCUUGCAUAUUGAUCAUUCUAUUUUAAAGAAUUUCAUAAAUGUAAUUUUAUUUCCAAUCAAUUAACCUUACAUACUUUGGGUCCUCACCAAAGUGGGGUUUAGGUGAUCUCCUAUCUCGCCUAUAGCCAAGUCCGCCACUGCUUUUGAUAGAUUUGCUUCUCGUCAAUUAUCUGCUUGUUUACUUCAUUUCUAAUGGUUUCCUUUAGCUCUGCUUAUUCUGUGAACUGGGAAAAAGGUCUUCAAAUUUCCUUCGUUCUAGCUAUAAAUUAAUUGCAUAACAGCCAACUCCUCAUUAUUAUUGAUAUCUAACGUGUUUAAGUUUUAUUUUUAUUUAUUUCUUGUCAUCGGCUGCAUUAAUUGUUCUAUUUGAAUUUAUCGUGAGCAACUGAGUUAUAUUAUGCUUUUCCCUGAAGGAAUCUUUUUUCCAUUUUAACCAACAGGAUAUCUGAGCUUUAUAUAUUUUGUAUUUCGAUCUAGUCUUACUUAAGUCCGUUAAAAUAGAUAGAUCACUUUAUUGGUCAAAGCUGGAAUAUAUAUUUAAAGCAAUACAAUGUUUUGGACGUAAUCCCUUCUUCACUGUCCAAAUUAGUAACUUUUUUAGUCUACAAGAAUGAACAUGAGAACCCAUCUAAACGUGUUUGGAUAUAAAAAAUUACUUAAAGCAAACUUUUAAGUUACUUUGAGCUUAGCCAAAAAUGCUGCUAGUCCCAACUUGUAAGUUAAUUUUGGCUUCCAAAUUGGUACAUUUAAUUAUUGUCUAAGUUGUUUCAUUAUAAUUUUUAUUUUAAUCAUGGGGAUAUGAUCUUUAUUUCCCAAUAAUUUGCAAAUUAUGGCAAAAUAUAAGACGGCUUCACUUUCCAAAUUUAGUUCAAGAAAUUAAGUGUCGAUCUUAUAAUGAUACAUAUCAUAAGAUUAUCCAUAAUUCCUUCCUGUACAUGAAUUAUUACCACAUUGCUUAACAAUUUUGAGAAUUGAUUUUAGAAGUUCCCCAUUUUUAACUCAAAUCUAUUUGGUGGAGCAGGACAAGCUGUAUUCGAUGCAUCACAAUAUGAAUUUAGUCGGGGAAGUUGAUCUUGGGGUAUUAGAAGAUGAAGAGGACGAUCGCCCUGCAGUUGCAUUCGAUGAAAAAGGGUUUCAACUUGAUAGAGAUGAGGUUGCUUUUUAAGCUUUUAAAGUUUAGUGGUUUUCUUUUUUAAGUAUUUUAUUGCUAAUGUUGUGCGGUUUUUGUGUUCUAUUUUCAGGGUGAAUCCAUGGGAUCUUUAUUUGAAAUUGAUGAUCUAGCCAAAACAUUUUCAAAGUUUGGUGUUCACUUAUACAAAAAAUUGUUGGCGUGUAGCCUGCCAUAACCCAUGACCUCCCUAAUAUCCAAACCCAUGACCAGCAAUCCACCGCCGAUCCACCUCCGACCAUUCCUCUCACCGACGAAUGCAAUACCGUGUCGGACGGAAACCCUAACUCAUACGGCCCCACGCCACACAUACAGCCACACCUUCAGGCGGCGGCCCUAGGUGGAAACCCUAGCACCGCCGCUCAAGUUCAUGCUGGAAUUAGAGAUGCAACCACCUGGGAUGGAGUAUCGCCACCGGUCGACCACUUUUUUGGUAGACGGACCCAGAUGGACCGACCUGGGAUGCAAACCAGAUCACACAAAAUCUAGCCACCAUUCACGCAGAUGCGCCUGACUGGAGCGCAGUGCAGGCGAUUCCGAGGUGAGAGGUAGGUGGCGGCGCGUCACGCGCCGACGCCAGAAAGACAGAACCUUCGCCAGAACAUUUUUAGACCAGCCAUGAUGCCUACAAUACCAUCCGAUGUAUUGUUCACACACAGUCAGGGGAGAAAGUUUGCGGAAGCAUACGGUUUGGUAUUCAAUCGUUGGUUUCGAGUGGAGGCAAGGGAGUUUCAAGUUUCUGUUAAUAAUCUCGGCAUUGUUAGGAUGACAGAGUGGGGUUCGAGGAUCUCGAAUGCUAUAUGUAUGGGAAGCUUUGGCCCCUUCGUGAACGAAAAUCGAUCUCAAAGACCUCUGGUUAUCAAUUUUAGAACACGGCCAAAGCCCACUCAGUGAACUAUAUGUACAUAGUCACGACUCCUUCAUCCCCAGUCGACCCCUCAGUGCAAGAUAGAACACGGUCAAGGCCCACUCAGUGAACUAGAAGAAGUAUGUAAUCAUGUGUACUUUUCUGGUCGAUCUCAACAUUACAUGUCUCACAUUCCACAUCACAAAUAUUUUCAUAUCUAAUCUUUAAGUUCCACAAAUAUCAUAAUGAAAGAAUAUAUCCAAAAUAAUCAUGUAAUCGAACACAUAAUUGCAUAUAAUUGCACGUACUUUUAACAAUAUACUUAAUUUAUAAAUACUUUAAAAAUAUUUAUAUUUUUCCACUCACUGGAUUAUGUAUCGAACAAAGAUUAAUUCCCCCAACAAGCUUUCCCAAUCUCACUAUCUCCUGAAAAAUGAAUUAUUUAUUCAAAUUAUUAACUAUUGAAUCCAAUUUCCUAACCCAUACAUGGAUAGGAAACCUCAAAAUCUCAACUAUUACUUCUUCAUUUCUUUCUUCCCAUUUUAGUCAAGUGGGCACACAUAUCCAUAUGCCAAUAUAUACAUAAUUUCCCAUUUACAGAUUUAUUUACAGAAUAUCUUUUUCACAUUCAUUUUCCCACUACAUUGGCACAAUAACAUACUACCUUCCAACAUCUUGAAUUUACACUAUAAAUACUGUCCCUUUUUAUUUACUCUAUAAUAUUAAAAUUACUAAAUAAAGAACUUACCACAUUUAGGCUAAAUUGAAUUCCAAUUAAAUACAAUUCAUCUCUUCUUCAUCAGUUUACUACUUCCACACUGGCAUCAAGCUAUGCAAUUAGGUAUGUUCCCUUCUUAAUACUUUCAGCCACUAGACAUAUACGUGUGCCAAACAAUUCAUUAGUUGACCCAAAUCCUCACUUGUCUUUUGGUUUCUUUAUUUAAAUUUCAAUUUUAACCCAAUUACUUGCUAAAAUUUUCAUUCACAAAGCUCCAAAUCGAAAAUUUAUAAAUAUUUGAUUCACAUAACUUAAAAGCAUCAAAAAUAGUUUACCCAUACUAAACCAUCAAUAAAUUGAACUUCUUUAUAACUUAUUGGAGCCAAAUAAGAAAUUUAAGUUUGUAUAAAACUUACGCACUUGUGAUUGUAGAAGAAAUGAGGCUAUGAAAGAAAACCCCAUACUUGAAUAAGGGUAUCUCACCUCCAACACAUCGUCGGCCAACAAUUAUUCUUUUUUUUUUCUCCAUUUUUUUUUCUCGAUCUCUCUUUCUCUCUUUCUUGAUUAUUCCUGCCCGUCUCCCAGCACUCUCCUUCUCUGGUGUGUG